GAAGGGUGCAAGCGUUACUCGGAAUUACUGGGCGUAAAGCGUGCGUAGGUGGUUCGUUAAGUCUGUCGUGAAAGCCCCGGGCUCAACCCGGGAAUGGCGAUGGAUACUGGCGGGCUAGAGUGCGGUAGAGGAGAGUGGAAUUCCCGGUGUAGCAGUGAAAUGCGUAGAGAUCGGGAGGAACAUCAGUUGCGAAGGCGGCUCUCUGGACCAGCACUGACACUGAGGCACGAAAGCGUGGGGAGCAAACAGGAUUAGAUACCCUGGUAGUCCACGCCCUAAACGAUGCGAACUGGACGUUGGGAGCAACUAGGCUCUCAGUGUCGAAGCUAACGCGUUAAGUUCGCCGCCUGGGGAGUACGGUCGCAAGACUG
rnacentral:rRNA from 1 species